rnacentral:rRNA from 1 species
UACCAGCACCCCGAGGGGGCGGGACGAUUAUUGGGCCUAAAGCAUCCGUAGCCGGUUCUACAAGUCUUCCGUUAAAUCCACCUGCUUAACAGAUGGGCUGCGGAGGAUACUAUAGAGCUAGGAGGCGGGAGAGGCAAGCGGUACUUAGUGGGUAGGGGUAAAAUCCGUUGAUCCAUUGAAGACCACCAGUGGCGAAGGCGGCUUGCCAGAACGCACUCGACGGUGAGGGAUGAAAGCUGGGGGAGCAAACCGG